CUGUCGUGAAGAUCGGGCCACCCUCGUGCCGAUUGAUAUCUGUAGCCUAUCAACUGGUAUCAAAGCUUUCGUUGUCACGGUAGGUCUCACAAUCAUCCACAUAUCUACCUUUAGUUUAUCUAUCGUUUGCUACUGUUUUGUUCAACACCUAUAGUCCACUGAAAAGCCACAAAAAAAUCCUAUAGACCUUUAUCGGUACUGUUAUCUUAUGUUUUUAUGUUCAUCAAGUUGCUAGUCACCAUCUUUACAUAUUUUGUAUCAUGUUUUCAUUUGUUAUCCGCACUCCUGUUAGUUAAAAAAAGAGUUAAAAAAUGUUAGAGAAAAAAAUUCAGAGAAAAGAAAAGAGAAAGAACAGAAAAAGUAGAAGAAGAGGAAAGGGGUUGUAUUGCGGUUUGCUCACUGAGAAAUUUAGUUUACAUAUUCAGAUUCUUGGUGAUCUAUAUACCAGCAACAUUAUACCUUUCGAGCACAUCAAACCACUUGAUUUUCAGUACUGUAGCCUCCCUUGUUUAGCCACCUAUAGCUCCACCCAAAACUAAAAUCAGGACAGUCGACUCGUAAUCCUUGCGACCUCGGAAUCACUUCUGUUGAGCUGCUACACUAGCACAAUUCACGGUCCUUGAGAAUAGGAAAGAGCAUUGGUAAGUAAGAGGUGAGGUUGUGUAAUUACAUAAAUUUAUCCAUUCCACUAUAUUUUGCUUUAGUGCUAACAUGACAGGAUCCAACUCAAGUAUUCAUGGUGAUCGUCAUGGAGAAGAAGAACCCCCUGUUGCACGGGCUGAGUUGCGCCAAAUGGCAGACUCACUCUUGCAG
rnacentral:lncRNA from 1 species